UUCUCUCGGAGUCACCGUCUAGAUCUGCCGUCUCUUUGUCUCACGCAGCGGCGACGAAAGAGAUUGCAGAGAAUCCCAAUUCAAAACCUCUACAAUAUUGAAUCCUUUACGAGAUUCAAAACUUAACAGCUCGAAGAAGCGAUUCAAUCAAAACCGAAGCUUCCAUGAGCGAUAUGAUCCUCAUCGAAUCCAAAAACUUUGGUUCUUGAAGCGAUUGAAGGCUGUUACCACUGUUUCCCUUCCGCCAUAGCCAUCGAUGGAAGAAUACUAGAAGAGUAUUCAUUUUGUUACUAGAAGCUUUGAUUGAGAUCAGCCCCAAUCUCACAAACAAUUUUGGUAAACAUGGAUCUUAUUCCUAUCUUUCAUCUCAGUUCUAAUUUGGCACUUGCAUGAAUUAAAACUCAAACUUUUGUUGUUGUUCUUGUCUAAUUCUGCUGUUUUCUAGAUGGGUAAUUAAAAAGUAAUUGCAACUGUUUAUGGCCCAAGAGAGGUACUCUAUUACUCAUUCUCUUAAGAUUGUUGAUGCUUUUAUUUAUCUGUGUUUAAUUGUAUACAUGCUCUCGUUCAGAUUCAAUACAAAAGCCAACAAAAGAAUGGUCAUGUAUUGGUAUGUAUAUGUUUGUGUAUACUCUUCUUUGUAUAAAGCUUUGUGAAUUUGAAGUGCUUAUGGAUACGUCGCUUUACUUGUAUGUUUUGGUAGGUGUUGUGUGAGUGUAGUAUGGUAUAGUGAUGUCUUAAUUUACUAAAAAUAAAAGAAUCUUUGGUUGUAUGCGUAUAGUUUUGGUUUAUCAUUCGAUAUAAUGGUCAUGUUCUUGAAACUUAAAAGCUUACUUAUCUGUUGUUCCUUGGUUGAUUUGUUAUGAUGACGAGGAACCGGCUUGUUGCGCUCAUCACAAAUGUCAAACCUGAAUAGCAACGAGAUGUUAUGUCAGGAGGAUGGUUUUUUGUGCUUCAAAUGAAGACCACUCAGUGGUGGAACCAUUGCUACCACCUGCUGGAGCUAAACCAGGAGAGCAUGUUUCAUUUUCAGGGUAUAUAAUAUAGUGUAAAUUGGCUUAACACCAAACCUCUUUUGAUUGCUUUGGGUACAUACUUUGUAACAUCACUUACUUAAGAACCCUUAUGUCUUAAUAUUUAUAUAGAGUCGAAGGAAAGCCAGAAGAACCCUUA